CCAAGAUGGGGGAAGCAUACAAGGAAAGGAAAGACUUAGGUUGUGACUGACAACCUCACUCUAACUUGGAUGUGGGCUGCUUUCAGCCUCCGUUGUGUUUGAGCUUGCAUUUCCAGCCUGCAUGUGAUUUUGCCAGCACAGAAGGUCGACUCUUUGCCUUUGCAGGUCGGGAAUCUCAGAGGAAGCAAAAGCAACUGGAGCAGGCAAAACAGACCUUGGGAGUGUCUCACCCGGGCCUUGAAAGCAGGAAGUGCAGGAAGGAUAGAGAGGUCCUCUCUCCAAUGCAGCUUCAAGUAUCCUGGGACAAGAGAAGCACGGAAGAGAUCGGAUGCCCAGGCCCAGUACCAGCUACAGAAGGGGCUAAUGUGUGUAGUUUGGGAACUGUUCAAUGUAGCCAUACUUAAAUGCUGAACGAUUUGGCAUGUGGAGUUCAGGAGAGAUCCUGGGACAGAUAACUGGGGAGUAAGGUGUUUAUCUGAAGCAUUUUAAACUCCAUGGACAGACAGAGAAGCAACAUGGUGGGCUCUGAAAAGAAGAUUAGAAUUCCCUGUUGUGUAGCAGCUUCCUACUUAGACUGGAUUGGUGGGAACUGAAGUUGUUUAUUCUUAAUACCCAUUUCUUACAUUAAUACAUGCAGAUUUAAGCCUAUAAGAGCUGGACCUGAACAGCCACAUACCAAAAUCUUUAAAUUAUUUUUACCCACAGAUAUGUUAAUGUCCCCACAGUACACAUUGUGUGACACCUGCACCAAUCAGCCAUUAGAAUGCAGACUGUGGCAUGUAUAGUACAGUGGGUGGACAGGAAACUCAAACCAUACCAGUGAGGGUGAUGGUGCGAUGGCUACUUUGUCCAGCGCUUCCUGUACAGGAGGACCAGGCAGGAGGUCACAGCUUCCAAAGUCUCAGUUUCUACCUCUGCUUUUUUUUUUUUUUUUUACAA